UGUGUGAAAUGUAAACACACCAUUUUGCUGUCAAAAUGGAUCGCCGAAAUACACAGAUUCAGCUCAUUGCUCUACGCAAAGAGAUGAUUGGAGACACGUCCAAAAAGAAGGAAGGGACACCUCGCCAAUCAGGGUGCUAUGUGAGCAGAUGCCAGGACUUGGCGUAAACAUCUUGGAGACCUCAUCAAACCCGGCACCUCCAAUUCCACAUCAUCCACCUCCGCAAAGCUCUUGCCAAGCUGGUGUGUUUGUACCAACUGUAGGGAGAUGCCAACACAACAGGACAUGCUGCAAACAAAGGCCGGAUGAAUGCUUCUCAAACUUGGCAAUCUUGAGGCACCUUGUUGUGGACCACCAUUGAGUUGGCACAACAUC